UUUGUCAUGAUUUGGUACAUUUAAUAGUCAUAGUUACACUGAUUAUUCAUUAAUAUGAUAGUUCAAGAACACAAAAGAGGGUAAAUAGGUUUGACGAAGAUUGAUUUACUAACUGAUUU